GAUGAACGCUAGCGACAGGCUUAACACAUGCAAGUCGAGGGGCAGCGGGGGUAGCAAUACCCGCCGGCGACCGGCGCACGGGUGAGUAACGCGUAUGCAACUUACCUAUCAGAGGGGGAUAACCCGGCGAAAGUCGGACUAAUACCGCAUGAAGCAGGGGCCCCGCAUGGGGAUAUUUGCUAAAGAUUCAUCGCUGAUAGAUAGGCAUGCGUUCCAUUAGGCAGUUGGCGGGGUAACGGCCCACCAAACCGACGAUGGAUAGGGGUUCUGAGAGGAAGGUCCCCCACAUUGGGACUGAGACACGGCCCAG
rnacentral:rRNA from 1 species